rnacentral:ncRNA from 1 species
CGCAAAGCCUAACCCGUUGGUUCCUGUUCUAGGACAGGUGAAAAGGGAAUGCGAUACGCGAAGUUUCGCAAAGCGCAGCCGCCCCCGCGACCGUGACCGGAGAGGUCGCCCCACACCACUGGCAUUUGCUGGGAAGGUAGGGCGCACCGAGCGCAGAAUGCGCAGAUCCGCAAGCCGGGAGACCUGCCAGCAGAACUGAAACGCGA